rnacentral:rRNA from 1 species
AGAGUUUGAUCCUGGCUCAGGAUAAACGCUGGCGGCGUGCUUUAUGCAUGCAAGUCGUACGGUAUUGAUAGAUCAGGCUUGCCUGGGAUAUCAAGAGAGUGGCAGACGGGUGAGUAACGCGUAAGUAAUCUGCCCCUAAGUAAGGGAUAACCCCGAGAAAUCGGAGCUAAUACCUUAUGUGGUGGUGGGGGUAAUGCUUCAUCACUAAAGCCGCAAGGCGCUUGGGGAGGAGCUUGUGUCCGAUUAGCUAGUUGGUAGGGUAACGGCUUACCAAGGCGAUGAUCGGUAGCUGGUCUGAGAGGAUGAUCAGCCACACUGGGACUGAGACACGGCCCAGACUCCUACGGGAGGCAGCAGCAAGGAAUAUUGGGCAAUGGGCGAAAGCCUGACCCAGCGACGCCGCGUGGGGGAUGACGGCCUUCGGGUUGUAAACCCCUUUUCUCGGGGAAGAAUAAUGACGGUACCUGAGGAAUAAGUCUUGGCUAACUACGUGCCAGCAGCCGCGGUAAUACGUAGGAGGCGAGCGUUAUCCGGAUUUACUGGGCGUAAAGGGGGCGCAGGCGGCUUUUCAAGUCGGAUGUGAAAUCUCCCUGCUUAACGGGGAGGGGUCAUUCGAUACUGUUGAGCUUGAGGGCAGCAGAGGGAGGUGGAAUUCCCGGUGUAGUGGUGAAAUGCGUAGAUAUCGGGAGGAACACCAGUGGCGAAGCGGCCUUCUGGGCUGUUCCUGACGCUGAGGCCCGAAAGCGCGGGGAGCGAACAGGAUUAGAUACCCUGGUAGUCCGCGCAGUAAACGAUGGACACUACGUAUAGUGAGUAUCGACCCUCUCUGUGCCGAAGUUAACGCGUUAAGUGUCCCGCCUGGGGAGUACGGCCGCAAGGCUAAACUCAAAAGAAUUGACGGGGGCCCGCACAGCAGCGGGAGCGUGUGGUUUAAUUCGAUGCAACGCGAGAUCUUACCAGGCUUGACAUGUCGAGUAGCACCCGAAAGGAAGCACUGUAAGUCAGACGUCAAAGUGCUGCAUGAUGUCGUCAGCUCUGCCCGAGUGUGGAUAGGUCUGUACGAGCAACCUGUGUCAGUGCUUUUCUGGCGAACUGC